UCGGUUCCGGUUCACGCCGACACCUCCUGGUCCCAAGUGGUCCUCGGAGGGGCGACCCGGGCC
rnacentral:ncRNA from 1 species